rnacentral:lncRNA from 1 species
CCUUCUAGAAGGUAGGUCAAAGAAACUCUAAACCUAGAAACACUUGUCAUGAAAGGUGGGUUUGGCACAAACCCAAAUUACUAAGCACACUCUACUCAAAUUACUAAGCACACUCUAUUCUAGUUUAUUCUUCUAUUUGGAACCCCCAAAGUGAGCUCAAUUUAUUUACAAACAUUUUUGUCUUGUAAGAAGACCAAAAGAAAGAACAUCUGAUACUCUGGUCUAGACACCAUUCUUCUUCUGCCGAGGUCCUUCCGAUAUUUGGUGGGACCUUGUUUUGUAAGCUGAGAUGACAGAUCAAAGUGUGAAAUACCUCUUGUGUCCUUGGUCAUCUGCUUGACUAAUUGGGUUGUAUCAUUGACUCCA